GUUGGUGAAAUACCAGUUGGAUCAGUGGGAAGGACACGAGCAGGACUCAGAAGGGGGCCAGGUCAGAAAACUCUCGUAAAAAUCAGCCACGCUGGAGGCUCAUCUGCUUGAGUCCUGAGAGGCAUCAAGAGGCAGCCUGGGUCCCAAAAGGCAGUGGAAACGUGCUGCCAUCUGGUGGCCACUGCUAAGCAUAACGCCUUAACGCGGACACAAGCAUAAGCCUUUCACCCUUGAAGCUGAUGCUACUUCGCAAGACUUAGCCAGUUGUCCAGAGUCUGGAACAACGUGAGAAUUAACUGAACCGUCCUCUAGGUCAGAGAAUACUGAUCCCCUAUUGAUAUCGGUCAGUUGACAACAUCAAACUCAGGGACCCCUUGUCCUUGUGAAGACUUAGUAUGGCUGUUCAUGUGUUCAUGCUCUUACUGAAGGCCGUCGUUCAGAAGCCUGAAGCCAGGAAUGCCAGCUCUGUCAAUUCCCAGCUGUGUAACCUUGGAUGAGUUACUUAACUCUUUUGAAUCUCAGCUUGCUCAGCACCAAAAUCUUUUCAAUUUGAGAAUGUUGGAUGAAAAAAACCAUGAAUAAAAAAUGUUGCACACAGUAGCUGAUAUCAUGCAGAGUA